rfam:Paenibacillus sp. D9 Scaffold1, whole genome shotgun sequence.
AUAAUGAUACUUCCGUCUAGCCAUAGUUAUCGCAAUGGGGGCGGCUUGCAGUGAUCCUGGAAGGGGCGACAGCCUAUGA